rfam:Hammondia hammondi strain H.H.34 contig01515, whole genome shotgun sequence.
GUUUCAUUAGUUUAAACGGUUAAAACUCAGAUUUCAUAUGUCUGUAAUGGAAGUUCGAUUCUUCCAUGAAGCU